UACAGAGGUCUCAAGCGUUGUUCGGAUUCAUUGGGCGUAAAGGGUGCGUAGGCGGCGCGGUAAGUCGGGUGUGAAAUCUCGGGGCUUAACUCCGAAACUGCAUUCGAUACUGCCGUGCUUGAGGACUGGAGAGGAGACUGGAAUUUACGGUGUAGCGGUGAAAUGCGUAGAUAUCAGGAGGAACACCGGUGGCGAAGGCGGCGACCUGGUCCAAUAUUGACACUCAUACACGAAAGCGUGGGGAUCAAACAGG
rnacentral:rRNA from 1 species